UACGAAGGGGGCUAGCGUUGCUCGGAAUCACUGGGCGUAAAGGGCGCGUAGGCGGCGUUUUAAGUCGGGGGUGAAAGCCUGUGGCUCAACCACAGAAUGGCCUUCGAUACUGGGACGCUUGAGUAUGGUAGAGGUUGGUGGAACUGCGAGUGUAGAGGUGAAAUUCGUAGAUAUUCGCAAGAACACCGGUGGCGAAGGCGGCCAAUUGGACCAUUACUGACGCUGAGGCGCGAAAGCGUGGGGAGCAAACAGG
rnacentral:rRNA from 1 species